rnacentral:misc_RNA from 1 species
UUGGGUACCCGUACCGCAGAACCACAGCAAUAGAAAGUCAAUCUCCAGACAGUCACAGCAAUCGAAAGUCAAUCUCCAGACAGUAAGGGUUUUCUGAAGACAAUAAUUUCGUCCUGGUUUCUGAUGCUGAAGAAAUAAGUGGACUUUUUGAGGUUUUGCUUUUGAAAGAGGAACAUGUUGGAAGGAGGUCCUAAAUUUCCUGGAAUUAUUGACCUAAACAAUCAUGAUAACAAUUAUCAUGAUUUAUCACAAGGG